CAAUCUUAUUCCAUUGACUAACUCAAGUCAUAGGGUUUCACAAGUCCAAAUAUGCAGCGGAACAAUAAAGAUAAAACAUCAAUUUAAACAAAGCCUAAUCUAGGAUAACUUGUGCUUCAGUUCUUCUAGUCGCUCUCCCAUUUUAAAUCCCCGAUAGGUUAGUUCUCAGAAUCUGUAAAACAACAAGAAAUUGUAUAAAGAGCUAGACAGCCCAGUAAGUAAUAAACACCUUAACUAGUCAAUUCAUAUAAUAAAAUAAAAUAUAAAUACAAAUUACGAUGAAUCAACAUAAUAACAUAAUCAAUUCCUUUUCAAGCACAAAUUCAUUAAAAUUCGUAUCUUUCAAAGAUCCACAUACAUAAUCAUAAAUCUGAUUCGAAACAAAUCAUAUUCAUCUCAUCAGCCUUUAGCUACGACCACACUUAUACCCUGUGGCUAGGUCAGAAACAGAACCGCACUUAUACCCUGCGGAGUGGGCCAGAAUACCGCACUUAUACCCUGCGGAGUGGGCCAGAAUACCGCACUUAUACCCUGCGGAGUGGGCCAGAAUACCACAUUUAUA
rnacentral:lncRNA from 1 species